rnacentral:lncRNA from 1 species
GGCAUGCAGUACAGCACCGUCAUCGGGAUGGUGUCCACUGGGACCAGCAUGCACACCGCCACCUCUCACACCUGCUUCUGACCCAUGUGGCUGACGCCUGGGGCGUGGAGCUGCCCAAGCGUGGCUAUCCCCCUGGAUGUGGCCCUGGAGUGAACUUUGUGCCUGGCCCUCUGCCACCUCCAAUCCCUGGCCCUAAUCCCCAUGGUCAGCACUGGGGCCCAGUGGUCCACCGGGGGAUGCCACGCUAUGUUCCUAACAGCCCCUACCAUGUGCGGAGAAUGGGGGGGCCCUGCAGGCAGCGGCUCAGACACUCAGAGAGACUGAUCCACACAUACAAACUGGACAGACGGCCUCCUGCCCAUUCGGGGACAUGGCCUGGGUAGACUGGAUCUUGGGCUGGGACUGGAUGUGCCAAUGGCCCUUCAGGGCCUGCCUGGCACCUCAGGUACUGGGCUAGGGUGUCUGCUAUGCCUGGUAUUGUUCUUGUCCAUUGCUGUCACCAAUAAAGGCAUGGAAGAACAGAGUGACAAA